UUCCUUCUCGCUUCCUUGUCAAAAGUACUUUUCUUUUCUUACUUAUCAUCCAUUUAUAAACAAUUUCCUUCUUCUCACUAAUCUCUUUGGUGGACAAAACUUUUUUUUUUCUUUUUUCUCUAAAAUGAAUUUCUAUAAACCCACUCAACAUCAUCUCAUUUCUAUCAACUCAUUGAAUAUCAUCUCAAUUCUCAGGUGUAAGUUUAUAAAUUAUGAAUGAAGAGUUUUAUUUCCAUUUAAAUUCCAAACCAAAAUGGAUGUCUUUUUUUCUUUUUUUCUUUUUUUAAUUUUAUUUUUCAAUCACCAUUUUCACUAAGUUUUUUAUCAACCAAUUUAAAAAUUCACCAAUGAAGAUCCAAUUGAAAAUGUUCACAAAACAUGAACUAAAUUGGACAGAAAAAAAAAAAAAAAAAAACCCUCAAAUGUAACGAUCAUAACAAUUUUGUCACAGCAUAUAUGAAAAUUUUAAGUCUUUUUGGUCCCUCAGUUUCUAAGAAUGUGUCCAUUUGAUUUCUAAUAUUUUAAAAUGACUAUUUUAGUCCUCGAUUAUUCAAUAAUAAGUUAAAAAAUCUAUCUACUAAUAUAACUAUCAAAAACUGUCUAAAUGGAUGAUGUGACUAGAUGAGUUAGGAAAGAAAUUUUUUUAGUUUUUAUGAUCCCCAUCUUCUAUUUUGUUCUCUCUCCACCCUCUCCAUCUUAUUCUUAUUACUUCUCUUCUCUUUGCCAAAAAUUGGUUGGAAUCUGCCCGCCGGUUCCUCGAACAGUGCAUUGACGCCGGCAACGUUGAUUAAAAGGGAACUGAAAGUUACAUUCUUGGCAUGAACUUCAAUGGCAAAGGCGGCGAUUGGCUCCCAUGCGUCAAGAAGCAAAGGCGGUGAUUGGCUCCCACGCGCCAAGAAGCAAAGGCGGCAAAACACUAUACUCACUCGCUGUCAGACAGUUCAACAGCAGCGGUGGCUCAAAGAACGAUAAGGAUUUAAACGGUGUGGUCCUUUCUGCUAGCGCUGCCUUGUUAGGCCAUAUCGACCCUUUAAGGGAGCUUGCAAGGUGCCUAUGGGGUUUGUCACAACAUUAUGGAGAGGGCCAUCCAGUUUUAGUCCAAGUCCAAGUCGACGCAAGGGAACUCGGCAUCCUUUAACCCUAUUCUUAAAAAUUCGAAACUAAAAUGUUCAAUCUAUAACAAUAUGGACCAUAUGCACAUAUUCUUAAAAACUUGAAGUCCAAUUAUAUUCUUCUAGGUGACCAACCAAAGUUGUAAAGAAAAACAUAACAAUAAUAACAGCAACCAUACUAAUAAAGAUAAUAACUUGUACAAAGCAAACUCAACUCAACGAGUAAAGAUAUCAGUACCUUCCUUAAAAUUCGUGGGAUAAAAUUCCCUCAACCAGAAGAAGUUGAUACACUGUAUUCCCAGGUUAUACUAUUAGAAGGGGAAAAAAAGGAAAAAAAUCACACCUAACCAAAAGGAGAAAAAGCCAAUCACCUUAGGAAGGGUUGAAGACAACACAAACAAUAACAAUUCCAUUAAAGACUCUUUACAAAUUAAACCAAUGCACAUUUCUACAACCUCCAGGCAGGAAGCUAAAGACUAUGUAGGCAGCAACUCAGACACCGUAUUGCACAAAAAA